rnacentral:rRNA from 1 species
CCUACGGGAGGCAGCAGUGGGGAAUAUUGGGCAAUGGAGGAAACUCUGACCCAGCAACGCCGCGUGAAUGAUGAAGGUCUUCGGAUUGUAAAGUUCUUUUCUAAGGGAAGCAGAAAGUGACGGUACCUUAGGAAUAAGCCUCGGCUAACUACGUGCCAGUAGUCGCGGUAAUACGUAGGAGGCAAGCGUUAUCCGGAAUGACUGGGCGUAAAGGGUGCGUAGGUGGUUCAGCAAGUUAGUAGCGUAAUUCCGGAGCUCAACUUCGGCACUACUACUAAAACUGUUGGACUUGAGUGCAGGAGAGGCAACUGGAAUUUCUAGUGUAGCGGUGGAAUGCGUAGAUAUUAGGAAGAACACCGGUUGCGAAGGCGAGUUGCUGGACUGUAACUGACACUGAGGCACGAAAGCGUGGGGAGCGAACAGGAUUAGAUACCCCAGUAGUC